ACAAUUUCAUUGAGUAAGUUUUCUCAACAUUAUUAGGAUUUGCAUUUCAUUUUUAUUGCAUCAAAAGCUAAAUCUUUUAUUUUCACUUCUCUUUUGAAAUGCAGGUGCUCUCUUACUGUCAAGGUGAGUUCUUUACUAAUGCAUGUCUAUCUUCUUCCACUGACAUUACUAUCAAACUUUGCAUCCAUACUCUGGUUUCCUGGAAAUGAAAUUCAUAUGUGUAACCUGAGUUGUGUACAAUAAAAUGAAUUAUUGAAAUCUGAGUUGCUCGUUAUCUUGGAUGUGAACAUGCAUCAAAAACUGAGUUCUAAAUAAAUUUUUUGUACAAUGCUUUACCUUACUUCGAUUUCAGGGCCUGACUGAGAAAUUCAGAGAAAAGGACUGCACAUACUCGGGUUCGGCAACUUUCACUUACGAGGCCUUCAUGUUAACAGUUUUGCCAUUGCUCGUAGUAUGAAAGCUGAAAGCCUUAAAAGGGUUUUGGGUUGUGAAUUUUGAAGUUCUUAUGCGCGACCCCCACCACCCACAACCCCAAUCUCCCCUCUCCCCCCACCCCCCCACCCCCCCCUUCUUCCUCUUUUUUUUGGGCUAGUGCAUGCUCUCUCGAUCUCUGCUUUACGAAUAAAUAAGCCAGCGUUUGGUAACGCUAUGUAAAACCCUUUAACGGUUUAAUGAAUGUUAGUGCAGAUUUAUGUGUCAGUGCUUCAUUUUGC
rnacentral:misc_RNA from 1 species